rnacentral:rRNA from 1 species
GAUGAACGCUAGCGGCAGGCCUAAUACAUGCAAGCCGAACGGCAAGUUUGAUAGCAAUAUUGGACCUAGAGUGGCGCAAGGGUGCGUAACACGUAUGCAACCUGCCCGCGACAGGAGGAUAGCUCCCCGAAAGGGGAAUUAACCCCCCAUAACACCAUGAGCAGCCAUCUGAUGAUGGUUAAACCGCAAGGGGUCGCGGAUGGGCAUGCGGUUGAUUAGCUAGUUGGCGGGGUAAAGUCCCACCAAGGCGGUGAUCAAUAGGGGUGCUGAGAGGUAGGUCUGAGACGCUGGCACUGCAAAACGGGACAGACUUCUACGGGAGGCUGCAGUAGGGAAUAUUGGACGAUAGUUGCGAGACUGAGCCAGCCGUGCCGCGUGCAGGAAGAAGGUCUUCUGGGUCGUAAACUGCUUUUUCAUGUGGAUAAGAUACCCGUGCGCGGGGAAUUGAAGGUAACAGUGGAAUAAGCCACGGCAAAUUACGU